rnacentral:rRNA from 1 species
AGGCUGGAGGUGUAAGUGCAGCAAUGCAUUCAGCUGACCAGUACUAAUAAAUUGAUAGGUUUAAUAG